ACGGGAGGCAGCAGUGGGGGAUAUUGCACAAUGGGGGAAACCCUGAUGCAGCGACGCCGCGUGAGUGAAGAAGUAUUUCGGUAUGUAAAGCUCUAUCAGCAGGGAAGAAAAUGACGGUACCUGACUAAGAAGCUCCGGCUAAAUACGUGCCAGCAGCCGCGGUAAUACGUAUGGAGCAAGCGUUAUCCGGAUUUACUGGGUGUAAAGGGAGCGUAGACGGCGAGGCAAGUCUGAUGUGAAAGCUAUGGGCUCAACCCAUAAACUGCAUUGGAAACUGUCUUGCUUGAGUGUCGGAGAGGUAAGCGGAAUUCCUAGUGUAGCGGUGAAAUGCGUAGAUAUUAGGAGGAACACCAGUGGCGAAGGCGGCUUACCGGACGAUAACUGACGUUGAGGCUCGAAAGCGUGGGGAGCAAACAGGAUUAGAUACCCUGGUA
rnacentral:rRNA from 1 species